UACAGAGGUCUCAAGCGUUGUUCGGAUUCAUUGGGCGUAAAGGGUGCGUAGGUGGCGCCGUAAGUCGGGUGUGAAAUUUCGGAGCUUAACUCCGAAACUGCAUUCGAUACUGCGGUGCUUGAGGACUGGAGAGGAGACGGGAAUUCAUGGUGUAGCAGUGAAAUGCGUAGAGAUCAUGAGGAAGACCAGUGGCGAAGGCGGGUCUCUGGACAGUUCCUGACACUGAGGCACGAAGGCCAGGGGAGCAAACGGG
rnacentral:rRNA from 1 species